GAGUUCUUACAACAGCACCAAGAGAUAAUUUCAUUAACCCCUUCUUGGAGAAGAGGAAACAGAGGACCUCCGAGGUUGAAUCAAGGGUCUGAGAACAUACAGCUCUAAGUGGGCCUGGUCUGAUUCCAAAGCCCAGAGAGAACUUACUGCCUAGUUAGCUGGAAAUCUGACCACAUUUCCAAACGUGUUCAGUUUACCCACAUUUUUUUUGAGUUUAUUUAUUUAUUUGGAGAGAGAGAACCAGCGGGGGAGGGGCAGAGAGAGGGGAGGACAGAGGAUCUGAAGUGGGCUCCGUGCUGACAGCAGGGAGUCCGAUGGGGGGCUCGAUCCCACAAACUGCGCGAUCAUGACCUGAGCGGAAGUUGGACGCUUAACCGACUGGUUUACCUACUUGGAUAAGAAGCGUCAAGACUUGAAAAACAAUUGCACAGUGAAUCUAAAACGAGUUACUAUAUCCAGAGCUCUUAUGGUGCAGACACACAGUGAGCCUUGUGUAGGUGUUACCUAUUACACUUACUAAAAGGCUCUAGGGGCGUGGAGACGGCUGGCUAGUUCAGUGGGUAGAACAUGCAAUUCUUCAUCUUGGUGGUCAUGAACUCAAGCCUCACAUUGGGAGUAGAUAUUACUUACAAUCAAUCAAUACAUACAUACAUACAUACAUACAUACAUAGCUAGCUAGCUCUGGGGAUAAUCAGUCUGCCCUUCCCCAGGGCUAAUCAAACAUUGUGAAUACAAACACCAAUGGCCACCCCCAACCCCCCACCAAAGGGCAGCUAUAUUCUUGUUACAGAGUAGUUUUCAACUUCUACUUAAGGAAAAGGAUGGUGUUUCCUGACUUUGUUCUUCAACUCCUUACAGGAAAUGAUGUUGUUGUAGGCAAGGACAAAGGUACAAUGUAAAAACACUUAACAAAUGCAUCAAAUCAUCUACUAACAUUGUAGGAGAGCCUUUCAGAGGCGUGUCCUUUCUGCUGAUCUGGAGCGGCGAAAAGAUUGGCAACCUCCUGAAAUCCCACCCCUGUGAGUUUGGGAUUGAAUCUGACCCUGGUUUCAUGGAGGUGGCCGUGCGGAUCAAGGGACGAUGACCCUUCUUGAGUACCUGCUAUGUUUUUACCACCGCUAGCUAAUGUAAUCCUUGUAAUAGAGUCUGUUCUAUUAUAAUGCUUCUUUUGAAAACAGGAAUCUCUUCCAACACGACUGAUCUAUUGUGAGCAUAGUGUGGAUUUUGCAUUUGCCUGUGUUUGGUUUUACCUGUGGGAAAGACUAGGCAGACACAGAAAACUGCACCCAGCUGAACUGAGCCACGGAGAAAUACACAGAAGGUGAACACACACAUAUCUCAAACACCUACCCGCUCUCUCAGUUCUCCAGGUAUGCUACAAGCCAAGCCCACCCAUAUCCGGUGUUUCAACUCUCCUGGAUUUCAGAUAACCUUCCUCCUCCCAUGUCACAGGGACACACAGAACCCUCCUGGCAUCUGCUUCCGUAAAUCUUUUUCAAGGCAAAGUGCCAUAUUUAGUAUCGUACUUCUCUAUUUUAACCAUUUAACGUGUAUAAAAGCAUGCUACUGUUUUUAUUAGGUCCCUGUCUUUAUUUGUCAUUGACAUAGACAUUGUGUUCCUGAGUCCAUUUUUCCUGUAAGCUCUGGGGUUUUUAUUGUGCAAUGUGGAUUAUCAUGGUGGCUUUCAGGAACACAGAGAUGCCUUACAGCAGCACAGACUUUAAAUAAGAACUCAACAGGGUGCCUGGGUGGCUCCGUCGGUUGAGCAUCUGACUUCAGCUCAGGUCAUGAUCUCACAGUUCGUGAGUUCCAGCCCCGCGUCGGGCUCUGGGCUGAUAGCUCAGGGCCUGGAGCCUGCUUCAGAGUCUGUGUCUCCCCCUCUCUCUACUCCUCCCCUUCUCACACUCUCUCUCUCAAAAAUAAAUAAAGAUUAAAAAAAAAAUUAAAUAAGAACUCAACCAAUACUAUUGCUCUUAUUCCUUAUGACAUGAAUGAGAAAAUAAGCUCGGAGAAGAUGGUCACGUACCCAAGGUCACCCAUCCCUGACGCCAUGUUCAUGUAAUUCUAUCCCCCACCCUCCUGCCACUUUCAACGCCUCCGUCUAGUCUCCAGGCACGCGGAACUGGACAAUGGUUGCAAACCACCUUCAACGUUAAGAAAAUAAAACUUUUCCAGAAAGACCUUAACUCAAGAUGAUCCACAUGAGUAUCUGAAUCAUUUAUUUAUGUUUUAAAUCAAGUAGGUAAUCUCCUUUCACAUACUAAAUAUGUCCCAUUCUGCUCACACUUUCAUAAAUUUUUCUCAUUUGUGAGAGUCGCUGAAUAGAGCAAGGGAAUUGUUUUACCCAGUAGGUGGUGGGGCAAUAACGAAGAAGCCUCGUGAUUAAGUAGAGUUGGAACCUCUUAUCUUUCUCACUGAGUGGGAGACACCAUUAGUAGUAAAAGUAAUUACCUGUGUAGAACACACUGAUUGCAUCAAGUACCUACUAUAAGCCACUAACAUAGUCAUUUCAAUUUUAGAGCUUCUUAAGAGAUCUUCAUUUGAUGUUAAUUUUACAUUUUUAGCAGAAGUACAUUAUUUUUGGAAAACAUUGUGUUAGCUGGACUAAUUUUUUAAACCUCUUCAAGGUUGUCUCCUGGUCGUAUGCGCCUAGAUGGCCUUUCCCCAAAAUGGCAGUCCCAAAGAGUUACACGGAACAAAGUCGGAAACCAGGAGCUACCUAAAUGUGAAAGAAUCUAUUUGGUGAGAGUUGAUUUUACACGGGGUUGAAAAACCUGUGCUUUCGUCUAUAAAAUCACGAAGCCCAUUAUGCGAAACUGCCGGGUACUUAAGGCAAUAAUUCCUAAGAAAUUGUCCACGCCAAAUCUUGUUAAAUGUUGUAUUGGAUAGUUUCACUAAACUUCAAAUUCUUCUCGGAUAGAAAUAUUAGAAACGGGGUGUGCUCGAUUAGAUUGAGCCCAGGCCAGAGACCUGACACUUAGGGGUGGUAACUCAGCAAAAACUCAGCGAAGGGGUUUCAGAGGCCAGAACAUUCUUCCCGCUCUUCCCACUGGCCAGCAAAAUGACCACGGUGGGCGCCUUAUCCUUAGAUCUGUAAAAUGAGCAUAUCAAACAGGUUUCCCGUCUAAGUCCAAAUUUCUAUAUAGUUAAUCAGCUGAAUUCUUUACUGUGUUUGCAUUUACAGUGAGGAGUCUGUUGGAUUGAAUAUGCUGACUUAGCAUUUGUGAGCCUGUCCCUACAUAUGUAUAUCAACUUAAUUUUACUUAAGUAGCACCAAAAUAUUACCUUCCCUAGGCAAGUAAGACAUCACUGGUAUACCUAGCACAUGUUAUGGGGGCUUGGAAGUAAUCUCCAAAUUAAUAUUACUGCAAAAAGUUAUUUUGAAACCUCAUAUUAGUAUUCGUUUGAACUCUCUGACGAAGGUUAGUGUCGCUUAGCCAACAUAUCCACUUUCCUUUCAUUGCUGCCCAUGUCACAAAGCCAAGAGAUGACUCUCGGAUGUAAUAAGGUAACCUGAUGAAAAGAACAAACAAGUUUCCAAGUGGGAAGACCAGGUUCAAAUCCGGUUUUUAUCAUUUUUACCAGCUGUGAGGCAUUGGGCAAGUUACUUAACAGCUUGAAGGGUCAGUUUCCUCCUAUUUAAAUUGGACAUAACUGUAGUACUUGCUUGAUAAGAUUGUUGGAAAGACUCAGGGUGCCUUGGUGGCUCAGUUGGUUGGCCGUCCAACUUGGGCUCAGAUCAUGAUCUCGCGGUUCGUAGGUUCGAGUCCCGUGUCGGGCUUUGUGCUGACAGCUCAGAGCCUGGAGCCUGCUUCAGAUUCUGUGUCUCCCUCUCUCUCUCUGCCCCUCCCCUGCUGACACUCUGUCUCUCUCUCUCAAAAAUAAAUGAACAUUAAAAAAUUUUUAAAAAGAUUGUUAUAAAGACUCAAAUCAGAGGCCUUGUGGAAUUUUGUUUCUUGUUAUUGCUAGAAGGGAAUCAUAGGAACCUCCAGGUAGCAGUGAUUGCCUUCGUGAAGAAGGAAUACUGUUGCUUGGAUGUAUUUUUUUCUCCAACUUGUCUUACCUUUCUACGUGAAGUUUUUAACUGUAAGCAUUUAUUGUCUUUUUUACCUACUUCUGUUUUUUAAUGCCUUCUGAUUUAUCUCAGGUGAAAUUGUAAGCUCUCUUUAUAUUAUUUUGUUUUUUAGACUUCUCUGAUUUAAAAAAGCAAUAAAAUAUUAUAAAAAAUAAAGAAGAUAAUAUGGGUUAGGAUGUUUUUCAUAGUGCCUCUCACAGAAUAAACAUUAAUCAAAUUGAUCACAAGUGAUAAUAUCACGUCCAUAACCAUGAAAAUCUUAUAAUCCGGGAAAAGCAAAGAAUGGUGGGAUACAUAGCAAUUACCCUAAAGAUAUUCAUUUCAGCAAUUCUGGUUAAUUCCAGGCCCUGGAAUUAUGAACAAGGGUUUAUAUAUUGGGUAAAUUGUUUUAUGAUGAAUUACGGAGAAAUCUUCCAAUUACUUUUGUGCUAGAAUUAUAUCGUAUUAAGAGUGUUUACAGCAAUUUGGACAUUAAAGUGGACUUAGUGUGUUACUUUUUCUCUUCCACUGAGAUGUUCACAAUUUUGCAUUAGUUUUGUUGAGAUGCAGCCUAAGAAUAUGUCAUUAGCUAAAAACCGAAUGGUGCUAUUGUUUGUACAGAGAACACAUAACAAAUUUGUUGACUAAAUGUGUUCCUGUUUGCUUAUGGGGCAUAUUCUGCUUAUAGAUGAGCAAUUUUGAGCAAAAGAAGGAUGGAAAGAUGGCCUGAAUAGAUUUUCCCAAAAUAUGUCCAUUAUCGGUCCUCUGUAAGUGAUUGUUGGAGGAAUUUCCCGUCGGGAACAAUGUAUUAUAGAGGAAAUAACUGCCCAGCCCAUCACGUAGGAGUAUGGAACAGUUCCAUCCAUCUAGUUCUUUAUAGUCAACUUGCUGCAUGGUUUUUUAAUGUUAUUUAAAAAAUUUUUUAAUGUUUAUUUUUGAGACAGAGAGAAACAGAGCAUGAGCGGGGGAGGGGCAGAGAGAGAGGGAGACAUAGAAUCUGAAGCAGGCCUCAGGCUCUGAGCCAUCGUCAGCACAGAGCCCAAUGUGGGGCUCGAACCCACCAACCGUGAGAUCAUGACCUGAGCUGAAGUUGGAUGCUUAACCAACUGAGCCACCCAGGUGCCCCUAAUAUUAUUUCUUUCUUUUGGCAGAGAGAGAGAGAGAGAGAGAGAGAGAGAGAGAGGCAGAGAGAGACAGGGUGUGAGUGGAGGAAGGGGCAGAGAGAAAGGGAGACACAGAAUCUGAAGCAGGCUCCAGGCUCUGAGCUGUCGGCAUAGAGCCCAACGUGGGGCUCGAACUCACGGACCUCGAGAUCACGAUCUGAGCCAAAGUCGGACGCUUAACCGACUGAGCCACACGGGUGCCCCUGCUUUGCAUGUUAACUGAAACUCGUGGGUGCUGGUACCAUGUUUUCACUUGGCCCAGGCCCAGGGUCACUGAGAUGCCAUACAAAGCCAGGGCUGCCCGUAUUUAGUACUUACUUUAUGCCAGUACUUCUCUCAGGACCUGGGGAUAAUAACGAUCAAACAAUCAAAUAUUUCUGCCUAAGAAUGUUUACUUCAAGUGUAGCAGGAAGAAAAUAAAGAGAAACAGAUACAUAGUGUGUUCGGUGGUAAAUGCUAAAGAGAAAACAAAGGAGAGAGUAGAAGAAGAGUCAGGGGUCAGGGUGGAGGGUCGGUGUGAGAUAGGACGGUCAGGGAAGGCUCCGCUAAGAAAGGGGCCUAUGAGCAGGCCGCAAAGGAAGUGAGGAAGCAAUCCACGUGGGUAUCUAGUGGGAAAGGAUUCGUAAGAUCGACUUCCCCAUGUGGGCUAAGGCUCACGUUCUUUUCUGAGAAACAGCUUGGUGGAGAGAAAUUUUGAGCUCCAUGGGAAAGGGAAAUUCUUUCGGACAGGAUCGGCAGCUCUUCCGAGGCAACCGAUGGCUACUCUAAGAGAUAUUUCCAAGAGAAUCUUCGGCUCGCAAGGCCAAACCUGUACCUGUCCUGCCUGAGUAUACAGUUUUCCGAAGACAGAUAAUUACUUGCGAAGUUGGUUACCACACACCCUUAGGGAUCUCCGCGGCCAUUUGUGAUUUGUACAUCUUGGAUCCUUACCCCCAGAUACUGUUGCUUAGUUCUGAUAUCUGGCUUGCUAGAACUAACACUCUUUUUCUUUUUAAUGUGUAUUUAUGAAUGAGAGAGAGCACGAACAAGAGAGGGGCAGAAAGAGAGGGAGACACAGAAUCUGAAGCUGGCUCCAGGCUCUGAGCUGUCAGCACAGAGCCCGACGCGGGGCUCGAACUCAUGAACCCUGAGAUCGUGACCUGAGCUGAAGUCGGACUGAGCCACCCAGGCGCCCCUAUAACUCACACUCUUGAUGCAAGAACCUCAGUCUCUAGCUGUGGGCACGGUUUUUAAAGACUGUACAUGGAAGUUUUAAUUACAUCUUGGGUACCCCUCCCGUUUUGCCUAGUGUACGGCCUAAUUCAUAACAUCCUUCUCACUUGUGUCUCUUAUAAAAGAGAGUUCCGGAACUGGGACUUGCAAGGACUCAUAGCUCUCAAUAGAGCUUUUGGAAGGGACUUUGUCUUUUUUGUUCUCUUACAUGUAUUUGAAUGGCUUCUUCUGGCCUCUUUUUUGGAGAAAAAAGUAGUAGGUCUAUUCAAUCGAUGAUUGACGGGGAUCUAAGUGGCUAUAAUACAUUGUCAUAUUGGCUGCAGACCCCAUCUCUGCUGGUAGGUUUACCUGAGGAUAGGUAAAUCCCUUUGGCAUUUAGCUUGGCCAAAGACUUUGUACCUGCCAUUUUGAUAAUAGGCCACUUCAGUAAUUUUUGGACUAAGGCUCCAGGAAGAAGAACAAAAUACGUCUCUCCUCGGGGCCUUUUCCCCAGCUGUUCUGUCUGGCAUUACCUUCAAAAUUUACUUAGACUUCAUCACCUCUUGGAAGCACUCCAUGACCCCGUCUUGUCCAGCUGUAUCGAGUUUCCUCAUCUUUUGCCUGUGCAUAGUGCUGCCCUAACCUGCAUCACCUAUUGCUACAAUGCCUUUAUGUUAUUAUCUGUUUCCUACUGGACAGUGAGCUGCUUAAGGGCAGGUACUGGGACUCAUUUCAACUCACUCCAAGUUUUUAUUUAGGAACAUACUACGUGCUGCGCACUGGGUUCGACUCUGGGAAUUUGAAAGUGAACAGGACAGAUAUAUUUCUGCCCUCAUGGAACUUACAGUCUACGGGCCAUGACAGGCAUUAAGGAAAUCAUCACAGCAGGAAAUUGCAAUGACUAAUUUUCUUGAGCCCAGUGAAGGAAGAAUUCCAAGGUCCUGAGGUCCUGUUUGUUUCUGUCCCUUAGAAUGCCCGCAAAAUAUUGGCAUUGAGUGAAUGUUUGAUUUGAGUUGAAUGAGGAUUCCAACUUUAACCCUUCCGUCCACAGGUGCACAGGUCCCUUUGUUCUGCGGAAUUGACAGCUUUGUCCCCAAAGUGCAAAUGAAUAACUAGAUACGUUUUGUGUUUUUUUAAGAUUUCUAUCUAAAUGGAGAUUUUAUGGCUUUCAGAAAUCUUUAAAACGUUCCCUCUCUCCUGUGUGAAUUCCACUAUGGAUUGAGGUAUGGCAUUUUUUCAAUGUCUGAUUUAUGCCCAGCAACAACUUAGCCUCCAUAAUUCAUCGAAGACCCUGUCUAAGGAAGAGAGUGUUCUGGAAUUUCCAAAACCUGUGGAUUCCAUCCAGAAUACCACACAGCAACUCAGAGACACCCCCCCCCCCCCCCGCCCCGAUCUGCACCCCCACUGCCACUCACCUAGAUGAGAGUUUCCAGCUCUGUUUGUGGAAUAUUGCCGUUCGGCUUCCGGCUUCCGGCUUUAUUGGGACACUGGGUUCCAAGGAUAGCAAUUAGGUGGUUCUUCGCCUGAGAAGGGAGGGGUGCACCUAGACUGCACAUCGAGCCACAGGGAGAGCAGUGUGAAGCUGAGGCUCAUCUCAAUCUCCUCCCUGUUGCCCCUGGCGCUCUGCAAUCCACCCUUCUCCUCCGCGAUACUUUUUUAAAUCUCCCCAUUAUGUUCAACAGCGUGUCAGCUGAGAGUUUGGGCUUAUGAGAUCAUGUCCAAUGGGCCAAAGUGUCUAAAAUAAAUGUUAGCUCAUAAAACAUACGUGGCAUAUCUGUGGGGCCCAAGCAAAGCCCACACAGAGGCAAAAAAAAAAAAAAAAAAAAAAAAAAAAAAAAAAAAAAAUGAAGUGAGGUUGUUUAACCCAGCAGUGACAGGUAUAGAAAUGGGAUUUUUUUUUUUCUUUUGGUUAACAGAAUUCUUUCAACUUCCAGGCAGAAGAGAAUAUACAUUUUGUUCCAUGAUAGAAAGUGACAAAUCUGGAUUUUUCCAUGGCCUGCAAAGCCAGGCUUCCUAAAAUCCAUUCAUUUAUUCAGAAAGUCUUUCUGGAACAUCUGUCCCAUGCCAGGCACUAUGCUUGGCACUGUAGAUACAUUUUUUUUUUUUUUUUUUACAUUUUAAGUAUAAACUGUAUAUUAAAUUUAAACAACAUUGAAAGUGAACAUUUUUUUACAAAUUGCAUCAAACACUUAAAACACAAUUUGGGAAUGUUAAACAUUAACUGUCAGUUCGAAGCGAUGGCAUUCACAGAACACAUCCUUCUGCUGGCCAAUAUGAAGUUUGCUCAAACGUAGUAUUUUGUAGAAGCUUAACCAUUAAUCUUCCUAAAAUUCAAUGAUUAUGCUUCAACUUUAUAAGCUUAAGCAAGUCUUCUAUGUAAUGCCCAGAUAACUUUUUCAGAUACAAAACAUUUAUACGAGUAAGGAAGUCAUAAAAACGUACAUAAAUUAUACUGAAGGGUGAAAUGAAAAGGCUGUCUAUAUACAGAUCCAUUUCACCUGAGAAAACACACGCACACAGAAACCACCGAAUAGAGGCACCACUACAUUCUCUUAGUUACGUUAUGUAGCAAACUGCAGAUCUAUAAAUGUCAUUCUAUUAUGUAUGAACUGAAAAAAAAAAAAUAUAUAUGUAUAUAUUAAAAAGAAAAAUGUCCUUGAAGCACGUGGGAGUGGAAUGUGCCUGUGUUAACUGACUAGGAAAACUUUGCCCUUGAGGGACCCACGGCCCAGUUGGGGAAACUGACAUUAACCAUGUAAGCAAAUAAAUAUGAUUUUCAGCAGGGAUGACAGCUAUAAAGAUAUAGCCAGAUCAUAGGAUGGAGGGCCAUCUGAGAAGUCUCUGAUGAGGUGAUAUUCUAGACGAGUCCCAAAGAGUGAGAGGGAGCUGUCCAGAUGAAGACAAGGAAGGAACCUUCUGGUCAGUGGAAACAGCAAGUGUCCAGGUGCUGCUGAGGAAGGUGUAGGGGUGUGGAGUAGGCCAUUUUGUCUGGGGUUAGUGAAUGGGGUAGAUGGAGGUGGGGAAGAGGGAGGAGGGACAGGUGCUCAGUUAUUUGAAGGCCAAGAUACAGAAUAAAAAGUCCCUUCCAAUUUAAGGAUUUUAAGUAGUAGGGUGCAGUUGUGAGCCUUGCCCUGGGUUGGCAUGGAGAACCCCUCUUUUUUUUCUUAAUGUUCAUUGUUUAGAGUGAGAGAGAGAGAGACAGAGCCCAAGCAGGGGAGGGGCAGAGAGAGAGGGAGACACAGAAUCCGAAGCAGGCUCCAGGCUCUGAGCCGUCAGCACAGAGCCCGACGCGGGGCUCGAACUCAUGACCCACAAGAUCCUGACCUGAGCCGAAGUUGGACGCUUAAGCGACUGAGCCACCCAGGUGCCCCGGAGAACACCUCUUUAAGGCUGAGGAACACCACUAGUCUACCUGACAGGAUUACUCGAAUCGGUGCUCUCCGGGGACCCCAGGCCCACAAACACAGGUGCACUUUGGGUGGCUUCCUCAGCACCUUAAGAUAACUUGCGGCAAUAAUUUUGCCUUGGAUUUGCAGAAUAAACAAAGGCUUUGUCGAGCCUGUAGUUUGAGGAAAUAAGUCACUAAUGCUGUGUUUGCAUGCUCCUCAAGCGCCACGCGGUGUGGGCCCCUUCUGUAGCUUAACUCCACUUUUUUGUUUGCUGGUUUGUCUGAAGCAUGUCAUGUUUUCAUAUAACAAAACACACAUACACCCUCGACGCCAUUUAAUAUUUAAUUCAAAUAAAUUGCUUACCAUAGCAAAUAAAAUGUUUACACGCGUGAAUUUUUAUAUUUCUGUAGAGUUUUUCGGAAGACAUGCGAAUCCCUGAUAGUACACGGUGGCACUUUUUUUUUUUUUCUAAUGGUACACAGGUAAACUUCGUUAACAAUUUCAUUGUCAUGUAUUUAAUGUGUAAUAUUCAUGUAAAACGAGGGCCAGAUCAAACCAGCAAUUGUGCAGCUAUUAUCACUAGAUUGUCACUGGCACUUCUGACAUAAAAUCUGCUGUUCAAAUACAUUUAUUUAAGAAGUGAGUUUAUUUAAAGGAAAAACACCAGUCUGGGAGGUACUCAUAUGAUGGCAAAACUGGGAGUCCUGAGGUCUGCGGGACAUGGUCCCCUGGAAGGAAUUCUGUGGUCACUGGGCAUUUCUCUCCAGUUUGUAUUCCCUCCCAGUUUUUCAUCUCAUGUGGAAUGCCUGUCAAGCUGAGAACGGAGCCAUAGAUUCAAGUCGCUUUGCUCACUGGUGGUUUAGGUCAUAUUUGAAAUUUACCUGCUACUUCAAUCAUCCAUUUAUAUGCUGCUUUUUCUUAUUAAAUUUUGCGAUAUGAUUAUACUUUAGGUGCAAAGCAAUCACACUCGUUGGAAGAUCCUUCCGUGCCCUUAAGUUGGAUUUUUGAAAAACCACAAAUACCCAGGAGGAAAUGAGACACGGUUGAGACAAACACAACAUUUCCACCUCAUGUGGAUACAGCAAUUCAUUAUAGUACAGCUCUGAUAUUCAGAGACUAUGUUAAAAAAAAAACAGUGUGUCUGUUGGUUCACCAGGGGAGGGCCUCUUGACGUCAAUUCUAAUUCCAUACAGAAAGACCUUAGUAGAAUUGGAAGCAACCUUGUUACCGUUCCAUAUUGUUACAUCCAUUUUGUUGAUAUGUAAACUGAGUCCAGCGUCAGCUGAAGCUUCCACCAGAAUUCAAAGCCAAGAUUUACUGUCUACCAUAGCCCUGCUUACCAGAGGGCAUUACACGAGUCACCUUCAGUCUUGUGUUGUUGAUUCUGAUCUGUUUGACAAAGAACGUGUGUGGGUUGCUAGUCUAUUUCUCCCUCGAGACAGCCUAACAAACAAGGUAUUACCUGGGGGAUAAAUGUUAGCCCUGGGAAAAAGGAGAUUCUAUUCCCUUGCAUGAUGUUUGACUAUCACAUGCUAUGUCAUUAGUUCCUUUUGAAACACUUCUUGGGAACAUUUCUCUCCCAGCUAUAAUUUGUAGAUUGCUGUAUUUUUUAAAAACUUAUUUUUAAGCCCUAGGUAGAGAUAAAAUACUGCAUGAGGACAGAAUGGGAAAAGGAUCUGAGAAACAGUGGUAAAAAUGACAUCCUAGGACGGUGCAACUGAUGAUAAACUGUCUUAAUUAUAUUGUGUUCAUUUUAGACAUUCUACUGGCAAGAAAAAAACUUCGUGUGUGAAUAGGGCUUGACCAAGGCUUGGCAAACUUUUGCCACGGAGAGCCAGAUAUUGUAUAUUUUCAGCCUCGUAUUUUUACUGUACCACUUGUAUUCUAUUAAAAAAUGUUAAACUCCUUUUCUUUUUACCUUAGUUUCCUAUGAAGCCAGGGAUUGACAGAUGUGUAGCCCUCCAACCGCAUUUGGCCCUUCGCUUGUUCUCGUACAUAAAUUUUGUUGGGACGCAGCCACGCCCAUCUGUUACUGUAUUGUCUCUGGAUGCUUCCAUGCAACAAUGGCAGAGUUGCGUAGUUUAGUCGACACUGUCUAAUCCACAUUCUGAAAAUAUUUGCUGUCUACCCCUUUGCAGAAAACAUUUCCUGACCCCAGUACUCAGUAAUAAAACUCACUAAAUCCCGGGUUUCACAUGCUGGAUUUUAAUUUCUAUUCUCAUUCAAAACCAUGUCCUAUUACAACUUGUAAACUAUUUGCUCAGGGACCCCCCCCAAAAAAAAAAAAACAUCUCGCUUGCCCCUUCUGGAACGUGGGCCACACCGUGGAAUCAUUGUCAUGAUAGCCCUUGAGCAACGCCUGCUAGAUUCUGCACCUACGACAAAGUCUAACGCGUGGGUACCAGGCUUGGGGCAAGUUAGAAUGUUUCUCCCUUUAAGUGAUGCCCAGCGCAGUUUCCAAAUUGACCUAAGAGUCGAUUCGUGGGCCUUUCUUCCCACAGCGCUGUGCUCACUUUUUUCUCGAGUCAGCUGAGACCCUGACAUAUACAUCUGCAUCAUGGAUGUCAUUAUAACAGGCGUCAAAAAUGCUACAGCUCUCCCAGAACACCUAGACUCUUGACAAGAUAGAUGAAACCUAUAGCUCUCUGUACCUGACUUCCAGAAAUCAGGACUGCCAGCUUUUGCUCGUGUUAUGAAUAGCCAGUGGCUGUUCUGUUAGAUAUCCCUUUGUCAGGGAAAUUCUGCUUUCCAGAAUUUUCCCCAGAUUUGCAUAUUGCAUUGUGAAAUCUCUGGUAGCGAAUGCAAAGGGAUUUGCAGAUACCUUUUUAUUUUUGUUUUCCAGGGAAAGUCACUUGCUUUAUUACCUCAAAGUGAGGCGUAUCAGUUGGGCCCCUUCCAGUUGUAGGAGGCAGGAAAUGAAGCCCCAAAUGGUUUAACCAAUGAGGCAAUUUACUGGUUCAUGUAAAGCAAAGGUCCAGGAUAAAGUGGCUUCAGAUGUUGCUAUUUCAAGACCUCAGAUUGUAUCGCAAAGGCUUCGUUCCUCUCUGUGCAUUUUUCUGGUCCACUUCUACUGCGUUGGCUCCUUCCUGAGAAGUCCCUUCCCUCACGGUGACCAGGUGGCCUCUGGCAGACACAGCUUUAUGUCUUCUCAGGAGUAAGUCCAGACUCAAGGAGCUGGCUUCUCUCUCAGGACUUUCAGGUGCCAUCUCGUGAUAUCUGGCUGUGCUGAUAUUGAGCUCAACCAACCACAUUCUCCAGAGAAAUGAGAUGAGCUGAUGAGGCAAGUCUAGGACAUACCGUCCCUGGAGCUGAGAGGGAGUUAGCCAGCUCCCCCCAAAAUUGUGUGGGCUCUGAGUGGGAAGCCCAGAACAAGAGCAGAAGCUAUUGCCAGAAGCCGAGUGAAUGGAUAAGAGGCAAAGAAACAUCAACAGGGACACCUGGGUGGCUCAGUCAGUUAAGUGUCAGACUUCAGCUCCAGUCAUGAUCUCGAAGUUUGUGAGUUCAAGCCCUGCGUCGAGCUCUGUGCUGACAGCUCAGAGCCUGGAGCUUGCUUCAGAUUCUCUCUCUCUCUCUCUCUCUCUCUCUCUCUCUCUGUCUCUCCCCUCCCCCCCGCAAAAUAAAUAGACAUUAGAAAAAAUUUCUUUUAAGGAAAAGAAAAGAAACAACAUCAACAACAAAUUCCCGCUGCAUAAAAUCUGGUUCGCUCCCCAAGUCCUGAGUUGGAACCUUGCUUCUACUGUAGGGUUUCUCAACCUCAGGAUAUUUGGGGGCCAGGUAAUCUUUUUGCUGUGUGUGGGAGGGUCUUCUCAUGCAGUGUGACAUCUUCAGCGAUGUCCCUGGCUUCCACGCAGUAGACACCUGCAUCGUCUUCCUUCCCUCCACCCCAAGUCGUGACAACCAAAGAUGCCCCCUAAGAGCGCAAAUCACCCCGGGUUGAGAACAACCGUGCACUCGUUACAACAUAAGAGUGGUGAGCCGAGGGUUGUUACCUCAUCAUCCACCGGGAAAAGAUACGAAGGGGAGAAAGGGCUGUUUCCAGGGCGGUGGUCGACAACCGUUCGGCAAGGACUUGAAGUCUUCAUUUCGUUGUGAGCCUGGGGAAGGUCUUUGGAACCGGAGUGGCCCAGCCACACCUGUGAGCAGGAGCAAAAGCAGGCAGCACACGGUCUAGUGCUUAAGAGUCCUGGGGUCACGGUGAGCUGGGUUCAAAUCCCUGUUUUGCUAUAUCCUUGGUGGGUGACCUUGUAGGACUUCCUUGGCAGCUCAGAGUCUGGAUUUUCUCCCCCCGUAAAAUAAAGGUAGUUUGGGAGUUCAUGUGAGAUGUAAAUGAUGGCGCAUGACAACUAAUCGGCAAAGAGGUAACUCUGAGUUGACUGCUGAACACGUAGGAGAUCUGACCGUCGGCGUCGUUAUCAGGAGCAUCGUUAUCAUUCGAGCCAGGUUUUCCCCACCAUGACGCUGACACCUGGGGCCGUGUGAUUCUCUGUUGUGGAAGGCUGUCCUGUGAGGUGUGGAUGUGUGGUAGUAUUCCUAGCCUCAAAACACUAGAUUCUAGCCCCACCUUAGUCAAUCAAAUACGUUUCCAGACAUUGUCAAAUAUCCCUUGGGAGGCAAAAUUGCCCAUGGUUGAGAACCACCGAUUUAAACCCACUCAAAUGACCACCUGGGGACAGACAGUAAUAAUUCUCUUGCUAUAGUUCAUUCCCAAGGCUGGUCCAAUUCUUUUCCCAAAGAAAAUAAGGGGGUGCGACUGCCCAGCCUAUCAGGGGAAGAGUUUGAGGUGCCUGACCAAGGACAGUAUAAUACCCUCGUGACUGUUAACAGCAACUCUGGUUUCCUGAGCAGGCAGAGCGCAGGGAAGAGCCCCAACUCCUUUGGCCUUUAUCUCUCAACCUAGAAAUGCUGCCUCCAGACUCCCAGAUCGCAUUUGUUCUAUUUCCAGUUUCAAUCUGGCCCAAGGGAUCCAUGCAGUGUGUCCAGUUAGUUGCUUAAAAUGUGUCCUAAUGUCUGGCUGCCAGAUGGAAAAUCGUUGCUCUAAAGCUUGGCCUGCCUGUUGUAAUGAAAAUGCUUGUUAGGUUUAAUGAAAAACAUAGGCCAGACCAUGAACAGUGUUGCUUUUUAGAUGCACACGCGUGGCUGUGCAGAAAUAUGCUAUUGCUGAUGAUGUGAAUGUAUACAGCAAGAAUCCUCUAUUUUCCUGUGUCUGCCUGAUGCUGAUGUUCCCGGGAAUCGUUUGGAAGCUAAGUCAGACGUAGAUACUGGUAAGCUCAACUUCCAGAACCCUCCGUUCAGAACCAGCAGAGCAUUGUGGUUAAGAGGGUAGAAUUUAAAGCCAGCCCUAAAUAGCUACUUACUAGCUAUGAGUGCCUGGCACAUAGUCGGUGCUUCAUCAGUGUUGGUUGACUAUCGAACAUUGCUCAGGCUUAGCUCGUUCAUCCGCAAAAUACAGUAAAGCCUACUUGUGAGAUAGUAAGUCAGAUCGUCUGUAUAAAACAUUUAGCACAUAGAAAACACUAAAAAAAUAUAUAUAGUUACCAUAUGUAACAAAUUUAUGAGAUUUCAUGUAGUCUUUGUUCGCUCAGCUAAUAUUUACUUAGUGGUUUCUUUGUGCCCUGUGCCAGCAAUUAGUAAUUCAACGACUAAAGAAGACGGAGGUGGGCAGCUGCAUACUGUCUGUAAGUUAGCAAAAUUGUAAAUGGGCGGCGGGGGGGUGGGGCACGUAGAAAAGAAAGUUCUUUUUAUCCCAUUUGAAUCCAACACGCGACGGAGCUCCGCAACACUGACUUGUCUCCGAUUAUUUAACCUCCUCGAAAGUUAGGUAGAAAUUCCGGGGAGAAUUUCCUU